rnacentral:rRNA from 1 species
AGCCUGUUGUUUAUUUAUAAUAGGUAAUUUCUGCCCAGUGAGAAAUUUAACGGCCGCGGUACCCUGACCGUGCAAAGGUAGCAUAAUCACUUGCCUUUUAAUUGGGGGCUGGUAUGAAUGGAAAAACAUGUUUACAGCUGUCUCUUAGCUUAUACUUGGAAUUUCCUGUUUGUGUGAAGAAGCAUAAACGUUGCAGAGGGACAAGAAGACCCUGUCGAGCUUUACUGUUAGUUGUUUUAUUUUUAAGUAUAUAUAUAAAAAAUUGAGCACGAGUCAGUUUGGUUGGGGUGACCAGAAAAGAAAAAAUCUUUUCUUAAUGAAAGAUAGGCAUGUCUAAUGUAUAGAUCCAUUUUGUUUAUCUAAGGAAUAAGUUACCGCAGGGAUAACAGCGUAAUUUUUUUAGAGAGCUCUUAUCAAAAAAAAAGUUUGCGACCUCGAUGUUGACUUAUUAUCUCCUGUUGGGCGUAGUCGCUAGUAGGGUUGGUCUGUUCGACCAUUAAAAUAAU